CCUACGGGUGGCAGCAGUGGGGAAUAUUGCACAAUGGGCGAAAGCCUGAUGCAGCAAAGUCGCGUGAGCGAUGAAGGCCUUCGGGUUGUUAAGCUCCGUUCUCAAGGAAGAUAAUGACGGUACUUGAGGAGGACGCCCCGGCUAACUACGUGCCAGCAGCCGCGGUAAUACGUAGGGGGCUAGCGUUAUCCGGAAUUACUGGGCGUAAAGGGUGCGUAGGUGGUUUCUUAAGUCAGAGGUGAAAGGCUACGGCUCAACCGUAGUAAGCCUUUGAAACUGGGGAACUUGAGUGCGGGAGAGGAAAGGGGAAUGCGUGGUGUAGCGGUGAAAUGCGUAGAUAUUAGGAAGAACACCAGUUGCGAAGGCGGCUCUCUGGACUGUAACUGACACUGAGGCACGAAAGCGUGGGGAGCAAACAGGAUUAGAUACCCUUGUAGUC
rnacentral:rRNA from 1 species